CCUUAAUGAGCACCUACAUACUUGUCUUAGUGUCACCACACGAAUGGGAUGAGACUUUCCAUCCUUCCAAUUGAAGCAGACACAGUAUGUACCGGUCUAAGCAUUGUCGUAUCCCUCCGACAAUCCAAUGACCAAGAACCUUUUGGACAUAAUGGUUAUGUGAAGAAGGUCUCUGUAGUCUAACAUCAUUAGAUUACUUCUUCAAUCAAUCCAUUGUCCAUGGAUUCACUAUUUAGGACAUAUAUCGUUUAUUGAGAUAGUCCUAAUUAGUAUCUUUGCCAUUUGAUGUAUAAGAGUCAUCUAUACAUCGAUUCAUUUGUCCUGAAAGGUUUCUUCCAAAGAUUGACUUUCAGGGCAUAUUUCCAACAAUCUCCCACUUGCACUAAAGUCAAUCACUAGUGUAUCUUAUACAUGCUAGUUGAGAGAGCUUAUGCUUGUAGGUUAACUUGGUUAUUUAUUAAUCCUUUUUAUUUAAAAGGGAUUUACUUAUCAAAUGUUUCUAAAACAUUUGAUGAUGUCUCUUUAUUGUGUUCGAAUACUUUGAUGAGACCUUGAUUCCAUGGCUUGAGCUAUCGCCCCAUUACGUCGUAGUAUCCUACUAACGACCUUAUGGUUUGGAUUCAAUCAUUGGUUCUAAAAGAACCUCUUCCAUUCAAAACACCUUUUGAAGCAGUUUCUAAAACUAUAUAUCGACAUAUAUUUCGUUUGUAUACUUUAUACAAACUUUGCUCCAACCUUGAGACCAUUGUAGUACAAUACUAACAAUUCAUUCAUAUGAUCAAUACUUCAUCCAUUAUGAAGUUCCAUUUGUUAAAAUGGCUUAUUUUCACUUUGGUUAACAACCUAAGUGAAUGCACGCUUCCAGAGUCCCACUCUGAUGUUUCUUUCUUAAAGGCAAUAAUACUUUAUCAGUUGCUUUGGUUCUGAUCCUGGGAUAUAGUAAUAUCUUA
rnacentral:lncRNA from 1 species